GCCGACUUAGCUCAGUUGGCUAGAGCGCAUCACUAGUAAUGAUGAGGUCGGGCGUUCGAAUCGUCUAGUCGGCA
rnacentral:tRNA from 1 species